rnacentral:rRNA from 1 species
GACGAACGCUGGCGGCGUGCUUAACACAUGCCAGUCGAACGAUGAAGUUCCUUCGGGAAUGGAUUAGUGGCGAACGGGUGAGGAACACGUGAGAAACCUGCCUUUCAUUUUGGGAUAACUCCGGGAAACCGGGGCUAAAAACGAAUACUCCGUCUCGGCGGCAUCGCUGAGCCGGGAAAAAACUUUGAUGAAAGAUGGGCUCGCGGCCUAUCAGCUAGGUGGUGAGGUAAUGGCUCACCAAGGCAACGACGGGUAGCCGGCCUGAGAGGGCGACCGGCCACUCCGGGACUGCGACACGGGCCGGACUCCUACUGGAGGCAGCAGUUGGGAAUAGUGGGCAAUGGGCACAGGCCUGACCCAGCGACGCCGCGUGAGGGAUGAAGGCCUUCGGGUUGUAAACCUCUUUCAGCAGGGACGAAGCGAAAGUGACGGUACCUGCAGAAGAAGCACCGGCUAACUAUGUGCCAGCCGCCGCCGUAA